AGAGCAGCACUGGGUAUAAAGCGCGUGUAGGCGGCGUGACAAGUCGGGUGUGAAAGCCCUCAGCUCAACUGAGGAAGUGCGCCCGAAACUGUCGUGCUUGAGUGCCGGAGAGGGUGGCGGAAUUCCCCAAGUAGAGGUGAAAUUCGUAGAUAUGGGGAGGAACACCGGUGGCGAAGGCGGCCACCUGGACGGUAACUGACGCUGAGACGCGAAAGCGUGGGGAGCAAACAGGAUUAGAUACCCUGGUAGUCCACGCCGUAAACGAUGAGAACUAGGUGUCGUGGGAGUUGACCCCCGCGGUGCCGAAGCUAACGCAUUAAGUUCUCCGCCUGGGAAGUACGGUCGCAAGACUAAAACUUAAAAAAUUAGACGG
rnacentral:rRNA from 1 species